ACGCACGCUGGCGGCGUGCUUAACACAUGCAAGUCGCACGGAAAGGCCCUGCUUUUGUGGGGUGCUCGAGUGGCGAACGGGUGAGUAACACGUGAGUAACCUGCCCUUGACUUUGGGAUAACUUCAGGAAACUGGGGCUAAUACCGGAUAGGAGCUCCUGCUGCAUGGUGGGGGUUGGAAAGUUUCGGCGGUUGGGGAUGGACUCGCGGCUUAUCAGCUUGUUGGUGGGGUAGUGGCUUACCAAGGCUUUGACGGGUAGCCGGCCUGAGAGGGUGACCGGCCACAUUGGGACUGAGAUACGGCCCAGACUCCUACGGGAGGCAGCAGUGGGGAAUAUUGCACAAUGGGCGGAAGCCUGAUGCAGCAACGCCGCGUGCGGGAUGAAGGCCUUCGGGUUGUAAACCGCUUUCGCCUGUGACGAAGCGUGAGUGACGGUAAUGGGUAAAGAAGCACCGGCUAACUACGUG
rnacentral:rRNA from 1 species